CCACACCGACAGCACAUAGCGAAGUAGUUGCUUGCCUUCAGGCCUUUGUUCAAAGGGCUGUUAUGAGAACCAGCUAUGCUUGCCAUGAAUUUCACAGCAACCUCUAGAAAACCUGAGGGGAAACUACUGGCUGAAGUUAAGUGCAAAGGACGGCGUUGGCUGCACUUGUGUGCGCCAUGCCUAGCGGACACCGGCAGAGUAAGGACCCAUGCCUGGAAAACCCAAGUGUGCCCCACAACAGAAAGAGGCAGGGAUAACCAACACCUUCCUUGAUCCCGUGUCGGACAAGAUGUACCGGUCACUUAGCAACCUUCAUUUCUGUGAGACAUACAGAUGGUUAAACACCAGCAGCAGGCUUCAGACCAGGGACUAGAUUUUUCUUUCGCGUUAGUUCUGACACUUCAAAAGCUUCUUACAUUUUACAUAGCUUCUUGCAUUACAUCCUUGCAAGAGGGAGGAGAGUUAUCCAUCAAUUACUGUAAGGAAGGCAGGAGUAACCCAUUUGGUGACAAAAGCAGUAACAGCAAUGCAAGACAAGUGCUGCUGCAAGGCAACAAAGUUCAGAGCAAGACUUACUUCCAGCAUCAGUACACUUGGAACCAGUCCUGGACUAGGAGCAGAGGAGAAUCCUGUAUGGGACCUUUUAUAUACUGGGAGAAGAGGCAAGUGGGGUCCCAGACUGUUCACACAUCAGUAUUUUUCACUGUUACUCUGCCCAAAUCUCUUGUGAAACUUUGCAAGCCAAAACUGGAGAUGUUUCAGAGGAUCUCAGGUACUAUAGGGAAGAGAGGAAUAUUCCUUACAAAUAUUUCUCAAAAGGAAUCCACAUUCAAUUGUUUCCCAUCCC
rnacentral:lncRNA from 1 species